UGCGUAGGCGGGUCUUUAAGUCAGGGGUGAAAUCCUGGAGCUCAACUCCAGAACUGCCUUUGAUACUGAAGAUCUUGAGUUCGGGAGAGGUGAGUGGAACUGCGAGUGUAGAGGUGAAAUUCGUAGAUAUUCGCAAGAACACCAGUGGCGAAGGCGGCUCACUGGCCCGAUACUGACGCUGAGGCGAAGACUGGGGAGCAAACGA
rnacentral:rRNA from 1 species